rnacentral:misc_RNA from 1 species
GAAAUGUGAUAAGUAAUGUGAAUUGCAGAAUUCCGUGAAUCAUCGAAUCUUUGAACGCACAUUGCGCCCUCUGGUAUUCCGGGGGCAUGCCUGUCCGAGCGUCAUUGCGAACCCCUCAAGCACGGCUUGUGUGAUGGGCCCUCCCGCGUCUUGGUCGUCAAGACGGGCCCGAAAUGCAGUGGCGGCUUCGCGGUUAUCCGAUCAGCCAGAGCGUAUGGGGACUUUCUCUCUGUCACACGCCCGCGGCGCGGACCGACGCCUGUCGACCUUCAUUCAUCGUUUUCUCGGUUGACCUCGGAUCAGGUAGGGAUGCCCGCUGAACUUAAGC